UUUUUGGCAUUAAUGUAAUUUUUUUUUGGUUAAAUAUUUGAAUGCGACUUAAAUUUUUUGAUUCCUGAAUAUCAAGAUAGAAUAAGAUUUAAGGAGUACCAUACAUUUUUUGCGGGUUUUCAAAGUCGCCUGAUUUUGAGAUGCUUUGACUUGUCCAAUGUUUUGCGCGGUACACUGUCCUCGCCUUCUUGACCCCUACUCUCCACCCGCUAUCCGGGUUUUCGAGGCUCUCCUGUUGGCUGGGGACGUUGUGCGUCGAUUUCUCAUGGUAUGGAUGAAUUCUGGGCCUUCUUUUAGUGCCUCUUGGGUGCACCUUUGUGAUGCGCUGGGCGCAUAAGUGUAGGAGCCUGCUCUCCUCGCCACGGCGAUGCGGCCUCCCUCAUCCAGACGGUCGUUGUCUGCUGCUCCUUGUCUGCGCUCUGUGUGCUCUGUGAGCAAUUCGAACACAGGACUACGCCCACUACGUCCCUUCUCGUUUACAAUGUACUUGACACAAUUGUUGAUAUGUGUGUCCCACUCUCUUGUCCGACUAGAUCUGGGAAGCCUCCUUGGUUCACAAAAGAGUUAUCCAGUCUAAAUAACCCAAAAUCCAGACUAUUU
rnacentral:lncRNA from 1 species